rnacentral:rRNA from 1 species
CCUACGGGGGGCAGCAGUGGGGAAUAUUGGACAAUGGGGGCAACCCUGAUCCAGCCAUGCCGCGUGUGUGAAGAAGGCCCUCGGGUUGUAAAGCACUUUCAGUGAGGAAGAACGCCUGGUGGUUAAUACCCAUCAGGAAAGACAUCACUCACAGAAGAAGCACCGGCUAACUCCGUGCCAGCAGCCGCGGUAAUACGGAGGGUGCGAGCGUUAAUCGGAAUUACUGGGCGUAAAGCGCGCGUAGGUGGCUUGAUAAGCCGGUUGUGAAAGCCCCGGGCUCAACCUGGGAACGGCAUCCGGAACUGUCAAGCUAGAGUGCAGGAGAGGAAGGUAGAAUUCCCGGUGUAGCGGUGAAAUGCGUAGAGAUCGGGAGGAAUAGCAGUGGCGAAGGCGGCCUUCUGGACUGACACUGACACUGAGGUGCGAAAGCGUGGGUAGCAAACAGGAUUAGAUACCCUGGUAGUC